UAUAUAAGGAGGUAAGGCCUGCUCACUGAAUUUUGAAGAGCCGCAGUAUCCUGACUGUGCUAAGGUAGCAUAAUAAUUUGUCUCUUAAUUGGGGACUAGAAUGAAUGGUCUAACGAGAAAUUAACUUUUUUAGGAAUAAUAAUUAAACUUAAUUUUUUAGUGAAAAAGCUAAAAUAAGAUAAAAAGACGAGAAGACCCUAUAGAGUUUUAUAUAUAAACUAUUUACAUUUUAAUAACUUUUUAGAAUUGUAAAUAAAGACUAUAUUUUGUUGGGGCGACAUUUAGAUAAAAAAAACUUUUUAUAUUAAAAACUCAAAUUUGAGUAUCUACUGAUCCUUAAAAAAGAUUAAAAGUAUAAAUUACCUUAGGGAUAACAGCGUAAUCUCCCUUGAGAGCUCAAAUCGACAGGGAGGUUUGCGACCUCGAUGUUGGACUAAAAUUAAACUAAGGUGCAGAAGUCUUAGAUUUAGGUCUGUUCGACCUAUAGAUUUUU
rnacentral:rRNA from 1 species